UUUUAAUGCAAUAUCUACAUUGCCCAUUAUCAGCAACCAUUUAUCCAAUGUUCUAAAGGCACACUCUGUUUACUAAUCUAAUAUCAUUUCUCUGUUUCAGAAGCAUCCAUUUCCUGUUGUUACCAGCGCCAUGCCAUGUGCUUUCUGCAGCUCAGAAUGAGAUUGGCUGGGACUUAAUGGCACGCUACUGGGAAAGUGAUUACUCACUCAUGAGUGAAAUAGUGAUUUCGUAUACUGUGAAAUGCCAGUAUUAAAUAAAUGAUGGGUUUGUAAA